UACGAGGGGGGCGAGCGUUGUUCGGAAUUAUUGGGCGUAAAGGGUGCGUAGGCGGUUUGGUAAGUCUUUUGUGAAAUCUCUGGGCUCAACUCAGAGUCUGCAAGGGAAACUGCCGGGCUGGAGUGUGGGAGAGGUGAGUGGAAUUUCCGGUGUAGCGGUGAAAUGCGUAGAUAUCGGACGGAACACCUGUGGCGAAAGCGGCUCACUGGACCACAACUGACGCUGAUGCACGAAAGCUAGGGGAGUAAACAGG
rnacentral:rRNA from 1 species